CAGCCGCCGCGGGAAUACGUAGGGGGCGAGCGUUGUCCGAAGUUACUGGGCGUAAAGCGCGCGUAGGCGGCUUCUUAAGUCUGAGGUGAAAGGUUCAACGCUUAACGUGAACAGUGCCUUGGAUACUGGGGAGCUUGAGUAUGGGAGAGGGCAGUGGAAUGGCUGGUGUAGCGGUGAAAUGCGUAGAUAUCAGUCGGAACACCCAUGGCGAAGGCAGCUGCCUGGCCUAAUACUGACGCUGAGGUGCGAAAGCGUGGGGAGCGAACGGGAUUAGAUACCCGCGUAGUCCCUGUCUCUUAUA
rnacentral:rRNA from 1 species